CCUACGGGGGGCUGCAGUGGGGAAUAUUGGACAAUGGGGGCAACCCUGAUCCAGCCAUGCCGCGUGUGUGAAGAAGGCCCUCGGGUUGUAAAGCACUUUCAGUGAGGAAGAACGCCUGGUGGUUAAUACCCAUCAGGAAAGACAUCACUCACAGAAGAAGCACCGGCUAACUCCGUGCCAGCAGCCGCGGUAAUACGGAGGGUGCGAGCGUUAAUCGGAAUUACUGGGCGUAAAGCGCGCGUAGGUGGCUUGAUAAGCCGGUUGUGAAAGCCCCGGGCUCAACCUGGGAACGGCAUCCGGAACUGUCAAGCUAGAGUGCAGGAGAGGAAGGUAGAAUUCCCGGUGUAGCGGUGAAAUGCGUAGAGAUCGGGAGGAAUACCAGUGGCGAAGGCGGCCUUCUGGACUGACACUGACACUGAGGUGCGAAAGCGUGGGUAGCAAACAGGAUUAGAUACCCUAGUAGUU
rnacentral:rRNA from 1 species